ensembl:ncRNA K10C3.9 ncRNA
GUGAGAAGAAAGAAAGAGAGACGGCGACAGUGAGAGAUAACAAGCAAACGAUGAAGCAUUUACUUUGAAACAUGCGCAGACAUGCUUGCUUCACUUCGUAAAGACAUUAAACGAACGCCGGAGAGACGAGGGAAAAAGAAGCCGCGGUGGCCGUCAAGCGACCGUCCGGCCAACUGAAUUGAGUCGACACGGCGGCCAGCCGGUCCCCAAGGAAGAAGAAGGAGAAGAAAAGGGACAACACACCGGCCAAACACACUGAAAUUCUUCCUUCGC